rnacentral:lncRNA from 1 species
GAAGUAGAAAAAAAUGAAAUGGGGUGUAGGUGAAGCCCUGCGAUAGUAAGGAAGGGAGUAUAUAUCCUAAGUUGUCGUCAAUGAAUGAUUUAAUGAAUGCACUGAAUCCUCAACCAUUUUGAUCAAAAUGAUUUAAUGUAGAACUACUUCACAAAAUUCAUUAAUUGCAAGGGUAUUUAUGGAAUUUUGGGGUACAGGGUGAAAGGGUUGGAGGUGCAGGGUGAAACACCCAGAAUCUUUUUAUAUAAACUUUGGCUUUUUCCACACCUCCCUUUUUUCUCCUACACCCACAAUUUUUUUUAAAUAUUAAAUUAUCUCCUUUUUACUUUGAUAGGGUAAAAACAUAAUUACUCUUUUUCUUUAUUUAUUCUCUUAGCAACCCUCAAUCUCGUAGUUAUCCUACCGCUUCACACUCACCUCUCAUAGUCUUUAUCCACCUAACAACCUUCUUCCUUCGAAUUUUCACUCCCCAUAAGUACAACCCUUCUUUUAUGUAUCUUUUCC